GGUGGGUUAGCGCAGUGGUUAGGGCUUAGGGCUCGUGACCGCCAGGUACCGGAUUCGAAUCCCGCUAGAGGCUG
rnacentral:tRNA from 1 species